rnacentral:rRNA from 1 species
CCUACGGGUGGCAGCAGUGAGGAAUAUUGGUCAAUGGACGAGAGUCUGAACCAGCCAAGUAGCGUGAAGGAUGACUGCCCUAUGGGUUGUAAACUUCUUUUAUAUGGGAAUAAAACGUUCCACGUGUGGGAUUUUGUAUGUACCAUAUGAAUAAGGAUCGGCUGACUCCGUGCCAGCAGCCGCGGUAAUACGGAGGAUCCGAGCGUUAUCCGGAUUUAUUGGGUUUAAAGGGAGCGUAGGUGGAUUGUUAAGUCAGUUGUGAAAGUUUGCGGCUCAACCGUAAAAUUGCAGUUGAAACUGGCAGUCUUGAGUACAGUAGAGGUGGGCGGAAUUCGUGGUGUAGCGGUGAAAUGCUUAGAUAUCACGAAGAACUCCGAUUGCGAAGGCAGUUCACUGGACUGCAACUGACACUGAGGCUCGAAAGUGUGGGUAUCAAACAGGAUUAGAUACCCGAGUAGUU